rnacentral:rRNA from 1 species
UACAGAGGUCUCAAGCGUUGUUCGGAUUCAUUGGGCGUAAAGGGUGCGUAGGCGGGCGGGGCAAGUCGGAUGUGAAAUCUCAGGGCUCAACCCUGAAACUGCAUUCGAUACUGCCUUGCUCGAGGACUGGAGAGGAGAUUGGAAUUUACGGUGUAGCGGUGAAAUGCGUAGAUAUCGUAAGGAAGACCAGUGGCGAAGGCGGCCUUCUGGACGAUGACUGACGCUGAGACGCGAAAGCGUGGGGGAGCAAACAGG